GACGAACGCUGGCGGCGUGCCUAAUACAUGCAAGUUGAGCGAUGAAGAUUGGUGCUUGCACCAAUUUGCAGAGCAGCGAACGGGUGAGUAACGCGUGGGGAAUCUGCCUUUGAGCGGGGGACAACAUUUGGAAACGAAUGCUAAUACCGCAUAACAACUUUAAACAUAAGUUUUAAGUUUGAAAGAUGCAAUUGCAUCACUCAAAGAUGAUCCCGCGCUGUAUUAGCUAGUUGGUGAGGUAAAGGCUCACCAAGGCGAUGAUACAUAGCCGACCUGAGAGGGUGAUCGGCCACAUUGGGACUGAGACACGGCCCAAACUCCUACGGGAGGCAGCAGUAGGGAAUCUUCGGCAAUGGACGAAAGUCUGACCGAGCAACGCCGCGUGAGUGAAGAAGGUUUUCGGAUCGUAAAACUCUGUUGGUAGAGAAGAACGUUGGUGAGAGUGGAAAGCUCAUCAAGUGACGGUAACUACCCAGAAAGGGACGGCUAACUACGUG
rnacentral:rRNA from 1 species